UACGGAGGGUGCAAGCGUUAAUCGGAAUUACUGGGCGUAAAGCGUGCGUAGGCGGUUCGUUAAGUCUGUUGUGAAAGCCCCGGGCUCAACCUGGGAAUGGCAAUGGAUACUGGCGAGCUAGAGUGUGUCAGAGGAUGGUGGAAUUCCCGGUGUAGCGGUGGAAUGCGUAGAGAUCGGGAAGAACAUCAGUGGCGAAGACGGCCUGCUGGGCUGUUGCUGACGCUGAGGCGCGACAGCGUGGGGAGCAAACAGG
rnacentral:rRNA from 1 species